rnacentral:rRNA from 1 species
ACGAAAGCGUGGGGAGCGAACAGGAUUAGAUACCCUGGUAGUCCACGCCGUAAACGAUGCUAACUCGUUUUUGGAGCGCAAGCUUCACAGACUAAGCGAAAGUGAUAAGUUAGCCACCUGGGGAGUACGAACGCAAGUUUGAAACUCAAAGGAAUUGACGGGGGCCCGCACAAGCGGUGGAUUAUGUGGUUUAAUUCGAUGAUACGCGAGGAACCUUACCAAGGCUUAAAUGGGAAAUGACAGGUUUAGAAAUAGACUUUUCUUCGGACAUUUUUCAAGGUGCUGCAUGGUUGUCGUCAGCUCGUGCCGUGAGGUGUUAGGUUAAGUCCUGCAACGAGCGCAACCCCUGUCACUAGUUGCCAUCAUUAAGUUGGGGACUCUAGUGAGACUGCCUACGCAAGUAGAGAGGAAAGUGGGGAUGACAUCAAAUCAUCACGGCCCUUACGCCUUGGGCCACACACGUAAUACAAUGGCCGGUACAGAGGGCAGCUACACUGCGAAGUGAUGCAAAUCUCGAAAGCCGGUCUCAGUUCGGAUUGGAGUCUGCAACUCGACUCUAUGAAGCUGGAAUCGCUAGUAAUCGCGCAUCAUC